UGUUUGACACCAAUAAUCUUUUACCUUUUUAGGGCAGAGUCAUGAAAAUGGUGGAGCUGAGGGGUGGGACAGGUGUCGGUGCAGUCUCCUGGGGAACGGUGCUCUCGGGAACAAUGGGGAGCAAAGCAGACUGUCUUCCUUGGGGUCCUUGUGGUGCGGCCCUCUCCAACCCACUCACCUGGUGGCGCAGCCCAUGAAGCCUGUCCGGCCUGACCCCACCCGACUGGCAUCGGCCGUCUGGGCAGCAGACGUGUGCGGAGCAUCUCCGAGGUUCUGGGCUGGGUGUGAACAGGACAGACGGCGCUGCCCUCCCAGGCUGUGUUCCGGAAAAGGGCAAGCCUGCAGAACGUGCCCAGCAGAGAACCGAGACCACCACCAGAGUGGAGCAGUGACCAUCACCCAUUUCCAGACGGGUCUGCUGGAAUUGCUUAGAGAUGUCCCAUGCGGACCGUGAGAACUGGAGGGACUCCAGACGGGUCCUGGCGGUCCCGACGUGGUCUGAGGGAUCGGUGACGGACCCGGCUGACCGUCACAAACGAGAGGGUCUCCCCCAUGCCGAGGCCAGGUGUGCGGGCCAUUUCCACAAGGUUCCCACGGGUCUCAAA